CCCCAUCAGUGGGGAAAGAAAUCCUUUCUUCUAUUAUUAUCGUAUUUUUAUUUUUUCACAUAAAGUGGAGUAAAGUUUAUCCAAUAUGUUAUCUUCCCCAUUACUUUUUUGUUUUGUUUUUUCUCAUAGAGGGAAAUAGUAAGUAAGUAAAACUUAUUUAUAUCCCGCCCCAUCUCCUCAUGGGGACUCAGGGCAACUCACAACAUAAAAAAGCAAACAUUCAAUGCCACAAAAAUACAACAACAAAUUCAACAAUAUUGAUAAAUAAAACAUUCAAACAUAUAAACAAAUCACAUAGAGAGCAAUAAAACACAUUAUACAAUAGCAAUAAAAACAGGAUUAAAACUUAAAAUACAUUUUAUUGGUCAAGAGGCCCAUGGCAAUUUAUCCAUGUGUUAUGUGAAGACAGCUUGCCAAGAAAAUCUUUCAAUAGGUUCUCCUUAAGCUUCCAUUUGUCUUACCAAAAAAAUGCUUCUCUUUUCAACCUUGUUUACCAUUUAAAGCAGAACCAAGAGUGACCCAGCCAGAAGUCCUGGCUCCAUCGAACUUCCCUUGGAGGGAGCACAUGAGUGUCAAAAGGAAGAUCGUUGAGAUAGCAGCACAGCAAAACACAGUCUCCUGCAGAAGCCGUGGAGAAUGGUCAUCAUAAUGGCAAAGCUGUGGUUCUCUCUGAUGCUGUUAGGUCCCACUGCAGCCUUCAUAUUGACUGUGCCCAAAUCCUCAGUUUCUGUCCCAGCCAGAAGUACAGCCUGGCUCUCUGCCUUACUGAGUCGUCCAACUUCACUGCCACAUUAUUUCCAGAUACGAUGGUAUUUUGUCACUGGCUCCAAGUUGGUGCUGAUGCUCAAGGCUGAUAACUGCAAGGCAAAUGGGACAAACCAGCAUUGGAGGGACUCCUGUAAGAUCAGAAUUGAAAUGACAGAGGGAUACAAACAUCGAGCAGAAGUGUCUUCAGAGAAUGUUUCACUGAUGAUCCAGGAUGUAAGAGCUGAGGAUUCUGGGAUUUAUUCCAUCAUGCUUCUGGCUUUGGGUGUGAAGUUAUCGGACAACAUCAACCUAAUAGUGACCAAUGGUGAGAAAGUUUGAUAGGAUGGUGAUGAUGAUGAUGAUGAUGAUGAAUAAUAACUUUAUAAUAACUUUAUUCUUAUACCCCGCCCCAUCUCCCCAAAGGGACUCGGGGUGGCUUACAUGGGGCCAUGCCCAAACACAACCAUAUAAUAACAAUAGCAAGACAAUGAAACAAAUUACUCAACAAUAAAACAUCAGCAUCAAUAAAACAGUCAUAAAAGGUCAACAUACAAAAUAAAAUGUUAAAAAACAGGAGAUGAAUACACGGAUCUGGGCCAAAGUGCAGAAUAUUUCAGAGUCGGGGAGAGGUAGUUUCACAGCUAACAUAGUCAAUAAAGUGCUAAUAUAAUACUGAGAAGGCAUAACCGAUAAUGUUGAUGAUGUUGAUGAUGUUGAUGAUGAUUAUUAUUAUUAUUAUUAACUUUAUCUAUAUCUUGCAUUCUCCAGA
rnacentral:lncRNA from 1 species